rnacentral:rRNA from 1 species
ACGCUCACACCUACGGGAAGCAGCAGUGAGGAAUAUUGGUCAAUGGGCGCUAGCCUGAACCAGCCAAGUAGCGUGAAGGAUGAAGGCUCUAUGGGUCGUAAACUUCUUUUAUAUAAGAAUAAAGUGCAGUAUGUAUACUGUUUUGUAUGUAUUAUAUGAAUAAGGAUCGGCUAACUCCGUGCCACAGCCGCGGUAAUCUGAGCGGGCGUGGCAAGGACG